AUUUAUUUAGUAUAAAAAAUAUUUUUAAUUUCCAAUUAAAAGAUUUAAUUAAUUUAAAAUAAAUA
rnacentral:tRNA from 2 species